GUGGUGAAAUAUGUGAACAACAUGAAAGAAAAACACAGACAAACAAGUUGUGCAUGCCCCCAGAAAAAGACUUUGCAUACUGGUGAAGGAGUUGCAAUGUUGAUAUUCUGGCUGUCCUCACAAACAUCUGGAAAACUGGGAAGAAGGAAUUGUGGAAAAUUAACAGCCAACUCAUCUAGUCCCAGCUCUCCUUGUUUCUUCUAUCUUCCAUUAAAAGACUAUAAAAACAACAACAACAACAACAACAACAAGUACAGAACAAUAAAACAACUCAAACCAGAAGUAAACAGUUUCCUAACUUCUAGGGAGGGCAUGCAGUGAAAAUACUGAGCUUAAAGCUGAGAACGGCUAUCAGCAAAUAAAGGAAUGAAGGAAUUGUUGUGAAUAAACAAGUUGGAAUACCCCAAAUUCUUUACCGUUAAAGUGAUUUUGAUGACUGUGAAAAUCAUUUUUCAACUUGUUAAACUGUUCCUGAGUUUCCAUAUAUUUUCAAGCAAAUAUACUAAGUAAGCUCAGAAUUACAUGCUUGUUAGAGGCAUUUCCAGCUGCAGUAUGCCAUGAGCUGUAGAUCACAGGUCUGGUAUCUUGAAUCUGGUGCAUCAUGUAGUUUUGAAGUAAAGAUUUUUGGGGUCACAUGGAAACUAAUUGAAACAGCCUGAAGAUCCUAAAUACAUUUUUAUGCUUAUUUUGUGUUACUUCUGUAAUUUAUCUGGGAAGAAAAUUAUGGGUUUUAUUAAGUUUCACAAAUAGACAAAUGCCAAUAUAAAAGUCUAAAAAAGGGGGAAACAUGAAUGUUGCUCUGAAAAUAAUGUCUCCCAUUUAUUUCCAUGGAAACUACUACUUCUGGAAAAAAAAAUAAAAAGAAAAAAAAAAAGAGCACAAUAACACUACUGAAUAGAGCAAAUUGCCAGCUACAAAACAGUAUUUUUCUACACUGUCUCCACCAUUAGUUAGGCAUUUUCACCAGUGAUGAGGAAGAGCUUUCAUGUUGUGCUCAUAAAAUGUACUCAUAAAAAUCUGCUCCAGUGGAGAUGACGCACUGCCUCCACUACCACUGACAAAACAUAUCACUGUAAUAGAUUAUUCUUUUGCAUCACUGUCUAAAAGCUUUCUGAGGGACACAGAUGAACAAGUCCAAGCAAGUCCUGGUCAAGGGUGGUGAAAUCCUUUGUCUGAGGGACACAGAUGGACAAGGUCAGGGGCAACAAGAGGGAGAUAAGCCAGAGUUUAAUGGCCAGGAAGCAGUGUUCUGUGUAGGCUUAUCUCGAGGGAGAUAGCCGUCUCAGGGGAUAUUGCACAUGACUGUUAUACCCAAGCACCUAGGAAUGCCACACUGGAAGAAGGAUAAAAAAGGGACAAACAACCAUGAGAUUAGGUUUCUGACAACAGAUUCCUCACAAAGAAGAACAAGAAGUUUUCUGACAUGAUAAGCCUCACGACCUGCCUCUCCCUCCUGGGCCUGAUACCCGAGACCUGCUUGCUGCCUAAGACCAGCCACUCUGCUGCUGCUCUCCCAUGAGAAAGUCUCUGUCAUCAGAUUGCUCACUACAGAAUGCCUGCAUGCUGACAGACUCUCUUGGGCCUGCUACCGGAGACCUGCUGUUUCCUCCCACACUUAUCCUGUGGCUUCUUCCUGGACCUACCCAGUACCUGCACCUUCUUGGUGCCCAAUAUCAGCCAUGUUGCUGCUGCUCUCCGCCUGCACUUUUGCCUCAGACCAUUGGAACGUCAUGCAACGGGACUGCUGCUGGAUCCUGGUGGUGACUAUCCCCGCUUUAUGCAAUUCUUGCCUCUUUCCUGUCUUUUCUAUCACCCACUUUCCCUUCCCCGUCUCCCUGAUUAAGAUUUGUAAUAAACUGGUCAG
ensembl:lncRNA